GACGGAAAUGCAAGGCUUUCUUCUGGUGAAGGAUUAUACUGACACCCCUCCCUCGGGCGGUGGGUGUGAAAAGGGUUAUGUAAAUCAUUGCUACUUUUAGGAGCUGGCAGUCCCUCAACUUGAGCGAGGACGUAGGGAAAGCGAAUCCGGGAAGGAGGCAAUUCACCUCAAACCUUUCACAGAUUCACGAAAUGAACAUACCAUUGAGAUGUUCUUCUGUAAGAAAGGACAGAUCACUUUGCAGCAAUUCACCCCGUGACGACUUGAAGCAGAUAGUUCUCGCGAGUUUUAGAUCCUUUUUUUCUUUCUUUCUUUUUUUUUUUUCAAAGAUGAAUCUCUGUUGAGAUGGCAAUGUGUGCCUCGCUCUGAAGGAAAACCACAUAAGCCAGGUCUUGAAGGUCUUGAAGGCGGAUGCACGCCCUUUUCUUCUGUGCAAGGCCUGCCUUACCUCCCAGCGGUGCCUCUCUGUCUCCUACCACCCUUUCGGAUCCAGCUCAGACACUGCACUUCCAAAGGCUUCCCUGGUGUCCAGGAAUGUUUGCUUCUCUCUUCUGGCUCGUGGGACCAUGAGCUCCAGGGACCACACGCUCCAGGGACCACGCCUGCGACUCCCGCCGGAGGUGGUCAGUGCAUUUCUCUUCUCUUCCCCCGAGGGCCCAGGUCCCCCUCAUCUCCAAGGGUACCCAUCACAGGGCUCCCUUUUAAACUAUCGGGAAGCACUGAAUGAAUGAACGCACGAAGACCCAUCACCGGCUCCUCCUGCCUUUGCCUACCAUCUUCUUUCUGGAGAAGAGUCAGUUUGUCUGCAUCUGAGAAGAGGUGGGGGAGAGAGCCAGCAAGUCCUCCCCCUUCUGCUCCAGGAUCUAGGAGACAGGGAAUCUCAUCGGGGGAGGGUUAGGGGCCCCCAGCCGGGGUGACUCGGAAUAACAGAGCAGUUUGCUGGUCUGGGCAGAAGGAUGGGGCAGAAAUCCUUACCAACAGGGCCCAGGCACUGGAGGAAUCUGACCGACCUCCAGGCUUUGGGGCUGUGUGUGUGUGUGUGUGUGUGUGUGUGUGUGAUCGGUUUCCAGGUGAGACCAGGAAGGGUCUAUGCAGGCGUAUUCCAGCUUCUGGCUUCCUAGGGCAUAGAGGGGGCUGGAUGAAAGGAGCCAAGAUGCUGGGCAACCUGCAGGGGGCCCCCCAUUCGCCCCAGGACCAUGUUUCUAAGUGGCUAAAGUUCAGGGACAGAGUUGAUUCAACCCCCCUUCAAAUCUCCUACAAGCCCAUACCUACUUCCUUCUCCCCAAUCCAGGGAGGGGGGCCCGGUCCCUAAACAGGUGGAGCCUUAAUGUGAUGCGGCUUCCUUGGUGUUCCCUGGAGUCUUGAAACUGGAUGAACAGGAAGCAUCCUGUUUAAAACGCACAGAAACUAUCUCACAGCCUGUUCAGAAGGAUCCACAGAGGGGAGGGGAGAACCUGCAGUGCCGUGAGGGAGGGCGCAGCCUCGCCCUGGCACCGGACCCACUUCUGAUGCCCAGAGCAGGGCCCACUUGGCUGGGAACCUGUACCGCUGGCCUCCAUCUCUCCUUAGUCAUCUGCACACACCCAGGGCUGUAGGAAGCUCAGCCCAGCCCGGAGGUUGAAUCCGUCUCCAUCUCUUCAUACUGAUGGCAGCCUGGCAUUGUUAUCCUUCACGGAUCAUCUCUUGGAAGGACAUCAGCCUCUUCUUACAUCUCCCAGCCCCCCUGG
rnacentral:lncRNA from 1 species